CAACUUCAAGUUGUAAACCUUAGGAGUAACAGUUUUACUGGUUCCAUUCCUCCGUCACUCUCGAAUGCCUCAAGGUUGGAGAUUUUAGAAAUAUCUACCAAUUUACUUGAAGGAAACAUCCCGGAAGAGAUUGGCAAUCUUCACAACCUGAAAUCGUUGUCCAUAGAACAAAAUCAGCUUACGGGUUCUAUACCAUUCACAUUAUUCAAUAUUUCUAGAAUUGAAGUCAUUGCAUUUUCAUAUAAUAGCCUAUCAGGAGAUCUUCCCAAUGGUUUAUGCAAUGAUCUCCCAAUACUCAAAGAGCUUUUAUCUAUCCAGAAACAAGCUUGAUGGUCAUAUGCCUACAAGCUUGUCAAAUUGUUCACGACUUCAAAUAUUGUCUCUAUCUGGAAAUUAAUUUUGAUGGACCAAUACAUAAUGAAAUUGGAAAAUUGACUAACUUGCAGAAAUUGUAUCUCGGAUACAACCAUUUCACAGGUAUAUAUGUUUUAUCUUAUGAAUGCUACUACUAUAUAUUGAAUCUAAUUACCUCACAUCUUUCUUUAUUACACAUUGAAUGCAGGUAUAGUUCCAGAAGAAAUUGGAAAUCUUGUUAAUUUGGUGGACUUAAGCGUGGAGAAUAACCAGAUUACCGGAUCUAUCCCAAUCUCCAUAUUCAAUAUCUCAUCGCUGCAAUCAUUGUUACUGUGGGGCAACAAUCUUAGUGGAUUCUUACCACGGGAGAUUGGCAACUUAACCAAGAUGCAAUUCUUAAAUCUCAAGGAAAAUAGGUUUACUGGUACGUAUUCAAAGUUAUAGCGAUCUGUAUUGAGCUAGCUAGACUCAUUCUUUCUUCACGUGUUGACAGGUGAAAUACCCAAAGAUAUAAGAAAUCUCGUUGAGUUGGAGGAAUUUGAUGUUGGGUUUAAUAGUUUUAGUGGUUCACUUCCAAUGGAGAUCUUCAACAUAUCACAACUGAGAACAAUUCAACUUUCAGACAACAAUCUAUCAGGAACUCUACCACCAAACAUAGGUUCUACCUUACCCAACAUUGAAAUACUUUAUCUGCAUACCUUAACCAAUCUUGUUGGGACUAUUCCUCAUUCUAUCUCCAAUUGUUCAAAGCUUACUGAUCUAGAGCUUUCACAAAACAAACUCAGUGGCUUAAUACCCAAUUCUCUUGGAUAUUUGACUCAUCUAAACUUCCUAAACUUGUGGGGAAACAAUUUAACCAGUGAUUCAUUUUUAAGCUUCUUGACUUCCUUAACCAAUUGCAGAAAUUUAACAUUCUAUCUUUCAACCCUCUAAAUGGCAUGCUUCCGGUCUCCGUAGGGAAUUUCUCCAAAUCUCUUGUAAAGUUUUAUGCCGCUGCUUGCAAGAUUAACGGUCAGAUUCCAAAUGAAGUUGGCAACUUAAGCAGCUUAUUAGACCUUGAUCAUUCUAAUAAUAACUUCAUUGGAUCAAUUCCUACCUCAACUCGUAACUUGAGAAACCUUCAGCGCCUGUACUUGAACAACAACAAGCUUACGGGAUUUAUUGGAGAUAAUUUAUGUAAAUUGCAGCAUUUGGGUGCUAUUUACUUGGGACAAAAUCAACUUUCAGGAUCUCUUCCUAAUUGUUUAGGGAACGUCACUUCCCUUAGAGAGAUACAUAUGUAUUCCAAUAAAUUGAGUUCCAAUAUACCAACAAGCUUAGGAAAUCUCAAAAAUCUAAUGGUUCUUAACUUGUCAUCAAACAACAUGGUUGGUUCUUUACCUCCGGAAAUUGGAAAUCUAAAAGCUGUGAUACAGAUGGAUCUGUGGUUCUUUACCUCCGGAAAUUGGAAAUCUAAAGGCUGUGAAUUAUAUGGAUCUGUCAAUGAAUCAAUUUUUUGCGACACAACAAGUUGCAAGGAUCUAUACCUGACUCAAUGAGAAACAUGGUAGGCUUGGAAUUCCUAGACCUUUCUCAUAAUAAUAUAACAGGAAUCAUUCCCAUGUCUUUGGAGAAACUUCAAUACCUCAAGUAUUUCAAUGUUUCUGACAACAAAUUGUAUGGUGAAAUACCCUCGGGGGGUCCUUUCAAGAACCUCUCGAGUCAGUUUUUCAUCGACAAUGAAGCAUUGUGUGGUUCUUCAAGAUUUAGUGUCCCGCGAUGCCCCACUUCAUCAAAGCACAGAUCAAAUAGGAAACAAAUGUUUGCUCUAUUUCUUAUGCUGGGAAUUGCACUUGUAUUUGUUCCUAUUGCCUUUGUGUUCGUAUGGAUUAGGUAUAGAAGAGGUAAAAGAGUUCCUCAACGAGCUGAUUCAUUGUCUAUCGCAACAACGGAAAGAAUUUCAUACUAUGAACUACUCCAAGCAACUGAUUCACUUAGCGAGAGUACUAAUCUGAUUGGUUCUGGAAGUUUUGGCUCUGUUUACAAAGGCGUUCUCAGGAGUGGGACUGCCAUUGCAGUUAAAGUGUUCAAUCUGCAACUGGAAGCGGCAUUCAAGAGUUUAGUGCUCGAGUAUAUGCCUAAUGGAAGUCUUGACAAGUAUUUGUAUUCGCACAACUACUUCCUAGACAUCAGGCAGAGACUAAGCAUUAUGAUAGAUGUAGCAUGCACGUUAGAAUAUCUCCAUCAUGGGUGCUCGUUACCCGUGAUUCACUGUGAUCUGAAGCCUAGUAACGUCUUGCUGGACGAGGAUGUGGUUGCCCACCUAAGCGACUUUGGUAUUUCAAAACUGCUUGGUGAAGAUGAGAGUGAUUUAUACACAAAAACCUUAGCAACAUUUGGUUAUAUUGCACCGGGUGCGUCUCUUUGUUUUUGCUAAUUUGAACAUUGAUUUUUCGUCUUUUUUUUUUUUCCAAUCAAGAAAGUAUAUUGCCUAUUUAAAUUAAUUGUUUCCCUGUAGAGUAUGGAAUGGAUGGACUGGUGUCAUUAAAAUGUGAUGUCUAUUGUUACGGGAUUAUGUUGCUGGAAACAUUUACUAGGAGAAAGCCUAGUGAUUUUGAGGGAGAUCUUAGCUUGAAGCAAUGGGUGAGUUAUUCACUCCCCGAGGCAGUAAUGGACGUUGUAGAUGCCAAUUUGAUAACAGUACCAAUGGAUAAUUGCUUACAGAAGGAGCUAGAUGUUGUGGCAUCAAUCAUGAAAGUGGCAUUAGAUUGUUGUGCUGAAUCUCCGGCAAGAAGGACAAACAUGAAAGAUGUUGUAGGGAUGCUACAGAAGAUCAAGAUUCAACUUCUUACAUGUUGAGCAUUUUCUCAGAAUCUCUUGUUACAAAUCAAUCACUUGUUUGCUAAAUUUUUGGAUUCAUGUAAAGAUUGCUUCUGUUUUUUUUAGCACUUGAUUUGUGCAUGAUUCAGUUUUCAGAAAUUCUAGAUGGUUGCAAUAAAUAUCACUAUUUCAUUUGAUUACCGGCAAAUCUUGAAACAGAAUGAGUUCAGUGCUUCUAUCCUUUGUUUUGUGCUUUUUACUGAUGCAGAGGAUGAGUGAGUUUGUGUUCUUUUACCUUUAAUUUUGCGCAGUAUUCUUAUGUAAUGUGUUGGAGCAAAAUGCAUUUCAAUAUUUAAUCAUGUGAAAUGUGAUUGUGCAACAUUUCAUUUAUUACCCUAUAAUCUUUCUAUAAAUAGUGAAGGUCUUUCAUUAUUUUAUAUAUAAGAAAACAUAGAGGGUAAAAGAUGAAAAGUAUUAUAUCGUGUUUAUAUUGAGAUUAGUGUAGUGAAAGAGAGUGUUGAGAUAGAGAAAAAAUAUUCUAAGUCUUCCGCAAAUUAUAUGUUGUCAGUGUCGGUUGAAUGGGAAAUCCACUAAAUCAAGUGUUUUAGACAAUUAGACCCCAGGUGAAAAAAAAAAAAAACAAUUAGACCCCCAAAUUGAAGGCCCCAAAAUUUUAUUCUAUAUGCUAUAAAAAUAUGAAUAAGAAGUACUAAAUUAUUUCUUUUUUUUGAAAUGUGAUAGAAGUUAGUGAAAUACAUCUGGUACGACAAUUGGACAGGCUUGGGAUCACUUUAUCAUGUCUUACCAGAAGCCGAGGAAGAGGAAAUAGAGGUCAACACUUUCGCAGGGAUGGAAGGAUGGAAUAUACAUGAGCGAAGGGAUUGUAUGCCAGAGGAGUAUGUGCAGCAUAUUAUUAGAAACAUACCACCUCCAGAUAUUAGUAGUGAUAUUGACCAGGCAAAGUGGAUGCUGGAAACAACGGGGAGAUUCUCUGUGAAGAGUGCUUGGGGAUACAUAAGACUGAAAGAGGAAAAGGAAGACAAUUUUAAGCAUAUGUGGAUUAACAAAUUGCCUUUCAAAAUGUCAUUUUUCCUUUGGAGACUAUGGAAGUUUAGAAUUCCAAUAGAUGAAGUCUUGCAAAAUAUUGGAAUUCAACUUGUAUCUCAAUGUUGGUGUUGCCAUAAUCCUAAAGCUAAGACCUAUUAUCACUGCAGUACCAACAAUUAUUCUAUGGUAUUUAUGGAAAAGAAGGAGUAGUAUCAAACAUGGAAGAAGGAUGAGUUACAAACAGUCUGAUUUAUAGAGUUAGCAAUGACAUAUGGAGAUUGGAAACCACCUGAGUUAGGUACCCUAAAAUGCAACACUGAUGGAGCAUCAAGGGGUAAUCCAGGUAGAAGUGAUUAUGGGUUUUGCUUGAGAAAUCAUAAAGGGGAUCUAAUCUACGCUCAAGGGGAAGAAAUCAAUGAAUGCACCAACAUUGAGGCAGAGGCAAUUGCAAUCAAAGAAGCAAUUUAUCACUGUGUUGCCAUAUGUCUCGAUAAGGUAUGCAUCAAAACAGAUUAUUUAAGUUUGGUGAAGAUACUAGCCGGAAUUUGGGAAGUGCCUUGGCAUAUUGCUAUUCUAGUAAGUGAUAUCAAGGCUCUAGCACUUCAAUGUCAAGUUAGGAUCCAACAUGUUUAUAGGGAAGGGAAUACAUUGGCGGAUUACAUGGCUAAUCUAGCUUUGGAUAGGGAAGGUAGAUUGAGUUUUUCCAUUUUCACCGAACUACCCAGGAAAAUCCUAAACCUUGAAAAACAACUAGUGCCAAACUUAAGGAUCAAAACUAAAAGGAUUUCACAGCAACACAACAUCAAGGAAGGGGAAUUUUCUUUUUAUCAUUUGAUCAAAGGCCUUUUUUAGACACUAGCCAACAUCAUGAUAAGUGAAUACGAUAUGGAAGAAUUCAAAUUCAGAUUUCUAACAUAGCGAGAAUUCACACGAGUUCACUUCGGUCCAAUUUACAACAAGACUAAUAGCCUACUGGAGAGACAGUUUAUAUUUUUGCAGAUAAAAAAUACGUCAAUACAAAGGGCAGAGCUAUUUUUUUCAAAUAAAAAGAGCUCAAUUCGAAUGAGGCAAAAUAAGUUAUACAUCUGGUCACACAUUUGAAGCCACUGGAAUUUCAAUUCACACGCAGGGCACACUUUCAACUGAGAGAUUAAAAGACCUUGAUUUCAACUCAUUUUCAUACUUUGUACUUAGCUACAAUGUAAAGGAUGGAUCUUAAUCAUGAAAGAAGAAGUUACAAAGUCCAAAAAUUGAAGAAGAAGACGCUUACCCAGAUCGGUUAAGCUUCCAAAAACAAGAAAGUGUGGCGCCACAAGUUCGAUCAAACAUGAGAGUAUGCAUCUUUGAGGAAGGUUUUGUCUAAGCAGAUGCUUUCCUUUUCCAGAUUCAUCUGAUUAGGGGAUUUUUGUUGUUA
rnacentral:lncRNA from 1 species